GCAUAUGGAGCUCCCAGGCUAAGGGUUGAAUAGGAGCUGCAGCUGCCAGCCUAUGCCACAGCCACAGCCACAGCCACACAGGAUCCUGAACCAACUGAGUGAGGCCAGGGAUUGAACCCUUGUCCUCAUGGACACUAGUCAGGUUUAUUACCAUGAGCCACCACAGGAAUUCCAUGAUUUUCUUAUUUAUCUUUCCAGCAUAAUGACUAUAUUUUUAUAUUCCUCUAAACAGUUAGGAAAACUGCUUAUUUUUAAUGAAUUAUGAGUGUAAUUUUGAACGGAUAUAUACUUUUAUCAGUAGAACUGCAUCAAGUCAUACUUACCAGAAAAUAAUGAACCAAGUACAAUUCUUUGUAUAGACCCUCCAUUCACAAUGAACUCACUUGGAAAUUAUAAGUUUGGUGAGAUGUCUAUAUUUUGGACAAGAAUUAAAACCCCCUGAGGAAAUGCAUAUUAUCUAUGCAUAAAACAUGUAAAUUUCUCCAGUCAUUGGUAGGCUGAUAGACGAUGGUACAUGCUGAGGCAGAAAACAGAUUGUCAUUGAAAUAUUUCCAAAGACAUAGGUCAGGUAGCAGGGAAACCAGUUAUGUGUGAGAACCUUAAUAUUAGCACCUGCUUCAUUAUGCAGAAAGGAAGCUGGAGCUCUCUCGGAGGUAUGAAGGAGAACAAGGUGAGGCUCCCAGGGCAGGUUCAGCCCUACUGAGGCAACACUCCAGAACGCGGAGUUCACUUAAGGCAGCAAUACUGGGAGAAUGGAGGAUGCACGACUGUCACAAUUUUAAGAAUGGACUUUUAAACAGUUGUCGAUAUUCUAAAAAAAUAGGCUACCUGGACCAUGCUAUAUCUUUUCACACAUUUGUAAAUUUGUUACCAAUCAUAGUCCAGGAGAAGGUAAACUUUAUUCAUUGAUUCACCAACUUUCAUUAUGUAAUUCCCUGUGCUACAUGCUGGGAACAUAGCAGUGAAUCUGAAAACAAGGCUUAUCAUCUGUUAAAGAAAACAGAUAUAAAACUAUUCAUUACACAAUUAUUAUCGUGGCACAUAUAACAAAGAAGAGAGGCAGGUAGGAGCAUGUUAUGUUUCAAAGUUGAGACAACCAAUGUGGCUCCUUUCAUCCAACAAAGAGAAGUUAUGCUAGAGUAGGUUUGCUAAGAUAAUCAGGAGGCUGGAUUAUUUAGGGCAUUAGAAGACAUAUUAUAUGUCUUCUUUUUUUUUGUAUUUUUAGGACUGCACCUGCUACAUAUGGAGGUUCCCAGGCUAGGGGUCAAAUCAGAGCUGUAGCUGCUAGCCUACGCUGUAGCCACAGCAAUGCCAGAUCCGAGUGACAUCUGCAACCUAAACCAUAGCUCAUGGCAAUGCCAGAUCCUUUAUCCACUGAGUGAGGCCAGGGAAUGAACCUGCAUCCUCAUUUAUACUAGUCAGAUUCAUUUCAGCUGAGCCACGAUGGGAACUCCGUAUUACAUAUCUUAAGCUUUUAACAAGGGGAUAAUAUGAUCUUACUUGCAAUUAUAGAUCACAUUGGAUUCUGGUUAAAAAUAGAUUCAAGGGAAAAAAGAAUAGAUCCUAGGGUAUCAGUCAGAAGGCUCUGGCAGUAUCCAAGUGAAAAUGAUUGUGGUUAGGUACAGAAUGAUAAUAGUAGAUACGAAUAAAAUUAAAAACCAUAAGAAAGAGUAAGAGUUAAAACUGAAGUAAUUCGGUGAGAGAUUAAAUGUAGAGAGUGAAUGAGAGUGGAGAUGAUAUCCUUGUCUCUCUUUGGUGGCAGUGCCAUUUACUGAGGUAGAUUAUACUACAAAAAAAUUAGUUCAGUUUUAUAUGUGCUAUAUGUAAGAUACCCAUAAAAUAUCCAAGUAGAGAGACUGAGAUGGAUGUUGGACACAGUCUUAGAAGUCAGAAAAGAGGUCUGUGUUGAAAGUGUAUAUUUGGAAAUUGCUUCUUUCCAAAUGGUUGAAAACUUGGGAAUAGAUGAGUUUGCUUGCAGAUAAUGAUAGAAAGAAGGAGGAGGAGGAGCAGAAGGAGGAGGAAAGGAUUGAAGGAAGAAGGAUGAAGGAAGAAGAGUAUGAUGGGGGUGGUCUUGUUCAAUGCCUUAGGGAAUUCUUAACAUCUCAAGCUUGGAGGAAGAAGAUAAGAUACUAAGUCUGAGAAAUGGUAGCCAAAGAAGUGAGAGGAGAAAAAUGCGAGAAGGCAGUGACUCUAAAUCAAGGGAAGUGAAUAUAUCAAGAAGAAACUGUAAUUAACGUCAAAAGGUGAUGAGCAGUUGAAGAAGAUACAGCCCUUAUUCCAUUAUCUGUCAAUCCUAUGCAAGAUGGUUCAUGUGCAUGGCCAGCUAGGUGGUGCUAGCUUUCAACUGGAAACUCAGAACGAUCACUGGGAAUCCUCAGUUCUUUCCCACAUGAACCAUUCCAUGGGGACAGUUUGGGCACCCUCAUACCAUGGCAACCAGCUCAAUCAGCAAGCAUUCCAAGAUAAAGGAAGUUUUCUAAUGUCUGAGCCCAGAAAAUGGUACAAUCUCAUCUCUACUAUAAUCUAUUGGUCAAGCAAUCAUGUUAUUCACUAAGAUUGACAACUGUGAUUCACCAUUCAUUCAAGGGAAUGAGACAGACCAUGCUUUUUGAAAGAGGACUGUCAGAAAUCAUGACAUCUUUAAUCUACCACAAACCUCAAUAUUUUAUUAUAUAAUCCUUAUCAUUGUAACAUGUUUUCUAAGCAGAAAAGAUUGAAAAUAACCUAAAAAUCCAUCACUGAGAUUAAAUUACUUAAAUUAUCUUAUGUAAAUAAUCAUUUAAGUUAAAUUAAUUUAAAUUUAUAAAAUUACAUACUAUGCAACUACUAAAAACAAUGGGGAUACUUUUAAUAAAAUACUAUAAAAUGUUAUCAUGAGAUAUUUUGAGUCAAAAAAGCAAAAGUUAGUAUGUAUAUAGUAUGUUAUCAUUUGUGCAAAAGGAGGGAAAUAAAAUACAUUUGUAUUUACCUGUAUAAGCAUAAAACACAUAUGGAAUAUGCAUUCUCAGUGGGGUGCUAUCACCCCCAAAAGGGCAAAAAUUAGUUCUUGUGUGGGAGGAGUCUUAAUGUUUCUAUGUGUAAAGCACAAUUACAUAUAGAGUGCAAAAAAGAUACACAAUAUACCUGUGUAUUCAAAUUAAGGGGGGGCAAUAAUUUGGAAAAAAAAUGCCUUUGAGGGCUCUUUAGAUGAUGGAAAAAAGGUUGAGAAAUACUCUUUUUGAAAGAUAUACAGCAAUGAGUUCAUAUGGUUGCUUGCAAGAACAGAAAUGAGUACUGGGAGGAGAAAGUGAUGAGACUAAGAGCAUUCAGAGUAUGCUCUCUCAUAUUUUUGAUAUUAGAACCAUGGGAAGAUAGUAUCUAUCAAAAUUUAAAUUAAAAAAUAAAAUUUAAAAAGAAGGUAAUCAUUUUUAAUUAUAUGGUAUUACUGAAUAGAAGCUCUUUCAGCAUAGGUUAAAGUAUAUAAAAUCUUGAAGUUUUGAAAGACUAGUCUGGGCAAGGAAUUAAUUUCACUUAGUUAUCUUGACUAUUCAAAGGAAAAGCUGGUAGAGCGGCAUUUUAUGUAAAACAUUAAAAGUCAAUUAUUAAUACAUAUUCAAGGUAAACUGUUUUGAAAGACAGGUUGUGUGGGUACCUGUUUCAUUCUGAAGGGACAGAGAGUGUGAAGGACCCAGGGGUGUGAAGGACCACAGUCAUUCUCUGAAUGCUGAAAUGUUCCCUCCUUCACACUCCAGGAUGGGAGAAGCAGCUCUAAGAUUUACAGAGGUAGAUGUAAUGUGAACAAUAAAAGUCCUUAGCAACAUUUAGAUUCAUAGGAAAAUUUUUUACAUGUACCAACGCCACAACCGACACUACAGAAGUAUAUAGCCAGGGUAAAUGCUUGGCAAUCUUCUUCUAGCUGGACACACCCAUAUGGAAAACUGGCCAAAUAAACAUGUACUUGCUCUAAUCUCUGUUCCUUACCACUGAAAAUCCACAGUAGGGUUGUAGCUCUUGGACUGCUGAAGUCACCAGGGGAUGAGCAAAUUAGACUUGACCUUGGUAUGUGAAUGACGGCAUGGAUCAUUGGGAGCUGGACCAUGUCCUAGUAAGAGAAUCAGCCUCGCCCAGUGUUGCAAGCAGCAGCCAACGGCAGAGGCCACAUGGUGCUAUGUUGCCACUAUGACCAAUACAGGGCAGACUGGAAGGAUAAGGAGGAGACUUGGAAGCACUAAAUAGUUACGGCUUUAGUCUAAUACGGGCCUUUCAAAACACUGUGAUCUAAUAUCAAAUUUUUUAAAUUACUCAAUGAAUUUUAUUACAUUUAUAGUUGUACAAUGAUCAUCACAACCCAAUUUUAUAGCAUUUCUUUGAUGAAACUGAAUUAAUUACAUGGAAAUUCCACAGAGAGUACGUGGCUAUGAUGCACUGAAAAUAAUUUCAGAAGUCCACUUAGACCAUCCAACAUCUCCUAAAUUUAUUCCUAGGUCACAUCAAGUGCAACUCCAAUUGCAAGUGCCCUUCCGAAAAGAAUGUGAAUACAGGUGGUGCAGCCUAAACCGUAAGUUCUGUUCAACAAUGCAUAAAAGCAAAUGCCAAAAAUCACCAGGGGAUAUGCAGCUACUCCUUGCCAACUCUGCAUGUACUCCAUUGCCGAGAAAUUUAGCUCUCUUUUGGGUUUCUCUAUGAACACUCACAUAUGAGUUGUUAGAAAGAGAAUGGUGGUUAAUUCUCACUAAACUACUCUGGUGGUCUUAACAGAAUGCCAUACACUAGGUGGCUUAACAACAGUCUAGAAACUGAAGUCUGAAAUCAGGAUACCAACAUGGUCAAGUUCUGGUGAGAAUUCUCUUCCUGUCUUGCAAAUGGCUACCUUCAUGCUAUAUGCUCACAUGGCCUUUUUCUCAGUGUGUGUGUGAGGGGACUUUCUCUUCCUACAAGCCCACCAAUCCCAUUGGAUUAGGACCCUGCCCUUAUGACCUCAUUUAACCUAAUCUCCAAAUACAGUCAAAUUAGGGAUUAAGGCUUCAACAUAUAGAUUUGUGGGGGGGCAGGGGGGGCGGGGGGUAGGGUCCCAAUUCAGUCCAUGGCAUCUAUACACAAAUAAGAAAUAUUCCAACAUCAAGAACAAAAAUUUUGGUUGACAAUUAGGUUAAAAAUGACAUAAGAAGAGCUUGGAAAUAGAACCAUCAAUUCAGAAAACAAAACAAAACGCAAAAUAUGGCACCCUUAUCUGAUACUACAUGCUCCUCUAAUGAUAAAAAUGCAUCUUGGCCCUAUGGCAAUGACUUUUUCCUUUAAACUGAGGCAACAGCCACAUAAUAAACUUCUCAAGUUAAACCUUUUAAAAGUGUAUAAUUCAGUAACUUUUAGUACACAUACAAUGUUGUACAACCACCACCAUUAUCUGAUUCGGGAACAUUUUUAUCAUUCAGAAAAGAAAUUCUGUACCUGUUAAGGAGUCACUCUCCAAUGCCCCAACCCAAGUCCCUAGUAUGCAUUUUUUAACCUUAAGGAAAGAAAGUUACAAAGGUGUACUUAUUCUUUACACUGAGGAAAAAAAGAAAAAAGAAAGGCACCAUUUUAAUGGCUAUUGCUACCACUAACUCAGAGAGUUUAUAACAUAGAGUACUGAGUCUUUGUGUUAUUUUGUCAUAGAAAGGACAAUUUCUAGAACUUCAUAGAAACAUGGAGUCAGAGAUCAUGAAGAGAAUCUCUGUUUCUGGGAAGUUCCCCUGUGGCUCAGAGGGUUAAGGAUCCAGUACUAUCACAGCUGUGGUGCAGGCAGCAACUGUAGCACAGGUUCGAUCCCUGGCCUAGAAACUUCCAUAAGCCAUAGGUGGUGGGGAGGGGAGAGGUGACAAAGCCAAAAAAAAGAAAAAAAGAAAAAAAAAGGAAAAGGGGAUCUCUGUUUCCAACAUAUCUCUAAACACAUAAUACUAAACAGCCGAAAAAAAAGUUAGGGAUAUCAUGUCCUCACACACACUUCUCUACAAAGAGACAGAUUUUUGUUGAAAUAUGUUUAAGAAAUUCUAAAUCAGACUGUUAACAGAUUUCUUUGCCAAGCAAAAAGGAUGGAUACAGAACCAACAGGGAGGUUUUGUUUUUUUAUUUUAAUUAUCAGGGUAGAACACCAGUUGCAACCUGGUGGUUUUUCACAGCAAAUGGACCAAAGACACAGAUGGGUUUUUAUUUUUCAAAGAAAUUGAACCAAUAAUGUAAUAUUUGUAAAUUUUAUACAAAAUGUAUAGACUUCCAGCUUCACUUUAAAAAUACUAGGUUUGAGUUCCCGUUGUGAUGCAACAGAUACAAAUCUGACUAGUGUCCAUAAGGAUUUGGGUUCCAUCUCUGGCCUCGCUCAGUGGAUCAGGGAUCAGGCAUUGCCGUGAGCUGUGGAGUAGGUUGCAGACACAGCUUGGAUCCCGAGUUG
rnacentral:lncRNA from 1 species